UACGGGGGGGGCAAGCGUUGUUCGGAAUUACUGGGCGUAAAGGGCUCGUAGGCGGCCAACUAAGUCGGAUGUGAAAUCCCCAGGCUCAACUUGGGAACUGCAUCCGAUACUGGAUGGCUUGAAUUCGGGAGAGGGAUGCAGAAUUCCAGGUGUAGCGGUGAAAUGCGUAGAUAUCUGGAGGAAUACCGGUGGCGAAGGCGGCAUCCUGGACCGACAUUGACGCUGAUGAGCGAAAGCGUGGGGAGCGAACAGG
rnacentral:rRNA from 1 species